AUUGAACGCUGGCGGCAUGCCUUACACAUGCAAGUCGAACGGUAACAGGGAGCUUGCUCCGCUGACGAGUGGCGAACGGGUGAGUAAUAUAUCGGAACGUACCAUUGAGUGGGGGAUAACGUAGCGAAAGUUGCGCUAAUACCGCAUAUUCUCUCCGGAGGAAAGCAGGGGACCGCAAGGCCUUGCGCUCAUUGAGCGGCCGAUAUCAGAUUAGCUAGUUGGUGGGGUAAAAGCUCACCAAGGCGACGAUCUGUAGCGGGUCUGAGAGGAUGAUCCGCCACACUGGAACUGAGACACGGUCCAGACUCCUACGGGAGGCAGCAGUGGGGAAUUUUGGACAAUGGGGGCAACCCUGAUCCAGCCAUGCCGCGUGAGUGAAGAAGGCCUUCGGGUUGUAAAGCUCUUUCAGCCGGGAAGAAAACGCAUUGGUUAAUACCUGGUGUGGAUGACGGUACCGGAAUAAGAAGCACCGGCUAACUACGUG
rnacentral:rRNA from 1 species